GGUGAGUAAUGCUUAGGAAUCUGCCUAUUAGUGGGGGACAACAUUUCGAAAGGAAUGCUAAUACCGCAUACGUCCUACGGGAGAAAGCAGGGGAUCUUCGGACCUUGCGCUAAUAGAUGAGCCUAAGUCGGAUUAGCUAGUUGGUGGGGUAAAGGCCUACCAAGGCGACGAUCUGUAGCGGGUCUGAGAGGAUGAUCCGCCACACUGGGACUGAGACACGGCCCAGACUCCUACGGGAGGCAGCAGUGGGGAAUAUUGGACAAUGGGCGCAAGCCUGAUCCAGCCAUGCCGCGUGUGUGAAGAAGGCCUUAUGGUUGUAAAGCACUUUAAGCGAGGAGGAGGCUACUUUAGUUAAUACCUAGAGAUAGUGGACGUUACUCGCAGAAUAAGCACCGGCUAACUCUGUGCCAGCAGCCGCGGUAAUACAGAGGGUGCAAGCGUUAAUCGGAUUUACUGGGCGUAAAGCGCGCGUAGGCGGCUAAUUAAGUCAAAUGUGAAAUCCCCGAGCUUAACUUGGGAAUUGCAUUCGAUACUGGUUAGCUAGAGUGUGGGAGAGGAUGGUAGAAUUCCAGGUGUAGCGGUGAAAUGCGUAGAGAUCUGGAGGAAUACCGAUGGCGAAGGCAGCCAUCUGGCCUAACACUGACGCUGAGGUGCGAAAGCAUGGGGAGCAAACAGGAUUAGAUACCCUGGUAGUCCAUGCCGUAAACGAUGUCUACUAGCCGUUGGGGCCUUUGAGGCU
rnacentral:rRNA from 1 species